UCCGUAAAACUACCCUCCUAGCGACCUCCAACGCCUCGGUCCUCACCCAGAACAUCACAUUAAACUUUUCAACAGUCACAGAUAGGAAGGGGCUCGGUGUGGAAGGUGCCAGCUCUGGCUCAGCCCUGCGGACUCAGCCCGCCUGCACCCAGGUGAAAUAUACAGCCUUGUUGCUCACACAAAGCCUGUUUGGUGGUUUCUUCACACGGAUGCAUGUGACAUUUGGUGCUGAAGACCCAGGACAGGAGGACUCCUUUGGGAGACCAGUGCCCUGUUGUCGCCCUCACUCCGUGAGGAGAUCCACCUAUGAUCUCAGGUCCUCAGACCAACCAGCCCAAGGAACAUCUUGCCAAUUUCAAAUCGGCUCUCCCCGAUCUGCCCAACAAUUUCCUGUUAAAGAGAUGGCUGACUAUCCUGACUUCAUCAGAGCAGGCUGGUGCCUGGCCUUCCUGGAAUGAGUGGGUGUUCUGACAGGCCCCCAGUUUGUCCCAUCUGCACCGCCAAGAGGUCUCCGGGUGGCCAGAGGAGCAAAGUUGCCUUCCAAGUGCCUGUUGGUGCCUGGGAGAACACAGCAGGAGUGUCGUGCGGCCCACAGCGCAGUGCAUGGUGAUUCCAGGCGCUGAACAACUCCCCUUGACCCUUGGGCCUGCAUCUGACUCCCGGCUGCAGAAUCAGAAGCUGAGUCCAGGCAACCGCUCGGCCACUCCCGGUCACUCCUCUCUGGACACCCAGUUACUAAAGUCAGCAAAGAAGAUGCGGUAAUCACCGCCUGAUCUCCACAUGGUGAACACAACACUCUCACUAACACCUCCUUGACCAGUCAGUCUUCAGCACUGGGGGUGGACAGGCAGGUUUUCUGUGUUUACCAGAAUCGCACAGGCUAAGCACAAACAUGGAACCAGAGUUCCAGGUGAGGAAACCUCACUCGCAGAAGCCCAGGCUGCACCCCACCAGGUGAUGCAGUGCGCCUAGGCUGUGGGUGCUAGGAGCCAAGUGCUAGGGACUCGUCAUGAGUGGGAAUCCCCACGUUCCUGUCACUGCUGUCAAACAGAAGGUAAACAGUCUUACGAAUGUAAUUCCUUAGGAAGACUUGUACAAACUUUUAUUAGGAUAUCUAUUUAUUUAAUACUGAACUUUGGCCUACUUUGUGAUAAGACUAUAAACAAAUUGAGGAAAUCACUAUUUCUCACUUCUGUAUUUCUCAAAAAAUAAUUUUGUUACAGAGUUCAAUAUACUGUGUACUACUGAUCUUCUAUUGUGAAAGCAAAGCAUUUCAUCAAAACAAAGUAUUUUAAAUUAUGAGUGAAAA
rnacentral:lncRNA from 1 species